UUGGAAACUCUGCCUGACCAUGUGGUAACAUCACCCAUUUCCCAAGGUUCAGAAACCAAUGCGCCUCUGAAGGGAAGCAGAACGUUUCUCUCUUUACACCCUCUGAAAUAUGUGCUCCAGUCAUGAAGCAGAGAAUAUUACAGUGAAGACAGGGAAUUAAAUGAAGUUUGGAGACGGUAUAAUGAACCUCUGAAGUUAGAAAAUGAUACCAAUUCUGACCUUUAAGCCCUGGAAUAGAAUCUGGCGAUGGAUGAGAUUCCUCAACCCACAUUGCCUGACCCCGGGAAAGCACUGUCUACUAUGUAGUCUUCCAGAG